rnacentral:rRNA from 1 species
GUCAAGUCUGUUCUCACCUCCCAAGCGAUUCACUGCCUCAUCCCUCUGCAUAUGAAGAAAGGUGUUUUGCUUGACAUCACUAAGAUCGAGAGAGCUUUCCUAUGGGCUGGAACAGACAAGGUAAAUGGAGGAAAAUGCAAAGUGAAAUGGGAAAUUAUGUGCAGGCCAAUGUCCCUGGGUGAUCUGGGCAUCCUCGACUUGGACAAAUUCUCCCGUGCCCUCAGGUUGCGCUGGCCUUGGUGGGAGUGGAAGGACCUAGACCAGACUUGGAUCGGGCUAGGUACACCUUGCGAUGACAAAGACAUGAACCUUUUCUACAAGAUCUCUUCCAUCACUAUUGAAGACGGGAAGACGACCAAGUUCUGGUCCUCACCGUGGCUAGGUGGGACUAAGCCCAAGGAUAUUGCACCUUCCAUUUUCAGCAUCUCCAGGUUCAUCAAUGGCUACGUCCAAAGAGCUUUGCUAAAUGAUGAUUGGGUUCGUCUCCUUGAUUUUGUGGUCCUUUGGGUGAAGCUGGCCUCCGUUCAACUACAUGAUCUAUCACCUGGACGCUCAAUGCCUUUGGUGUCUACGCCGCCGCCUCGGCAUACAGGGCGCAGUUUGACCAAUGAUGGAGCUACAUGUAAGGCUGAGAGGGCCGUGGCCCCCCAGCCGAAAUGA